GACGAACGCUGGCGGCGUGCUUAACACAUGCAAGUCGAACGGAAAGGCCCUGCUUGCAGGGUACUCGAGUGGCGAACGGGUGAGUAACACGUGGGUGAUCUGCCCUGCACUUCGGGAUAAGCCUGGGAAACUGGGUCUAAUACCGGAUAGGAGCCAUUUUUAGUGUGAUGGUUGGAAAGUUUUUUCGGUGUAGGAUGAGCUCGCGGCCUAUCAGCUUGUUGGUGGGGUAAUGGCCUACCAAGGCGGCGACGGGUAGCCGGCCUGAGAGGGUGGACGGCCACAUUGGGACUGAGAGACGGCACAGACUCCGACGGGAGGCAGCAGUGGGGAAUAUUGAACAAUGGGCGCAAGCCUGAUGCAGCGACGCCGCGUGGGGGAUGACGGCCUUCGGGUUGUAAACUCCUUUCGCUAGGGACGAAGCUUUUUGUGACGGUACCUAGAUAAGAAGCACCGGCUAACUACGUG
rnacentral:rRNA from 1 species